rnacentral:lncRNA from 1 species
GUUGACCUUGGCCUUAGGAGAACAGGGAAUGAUAGCAAUCAUUGAUUAAGUACUUACAGGCCAAGCACAUUAUCUGCACCAUUUCUGGAUACCCAGGCAGAGUCAGUACCCCCACUGCCCAGAUGGAGGUCAGACUACUCACUGACAGGUGUAUUUGGGAGGAAUAAAGAAGUCCUCGCUUGUAAAAUGCUUUGGGGAGAAUCUGGCACAUAUGUUCCUCCGGCAUCUUCUCCAAACGGGAGGUCAAGGGAGACCCCUAAAGGAGACAGAGUCAGAGGAUGGGUAGAGAGGCAAGAAGGAAGCAGGCUCCCCGCCCCCUGCAGGACUGACUUCCCGGCCGUGUGGAAACUCUCUC